UCGCACCUCACCUGUUUUCGUCAAUUUAUAAUGGAAAAAAAGACGAGGGAAAGCGUAGAGAAAACCAAAAAGAAAAGAAAAAGGGGGUAAUAGGGGGUCAGUUGAAUCAGGAGGAAGUCGAGUCGAGCAAUAGCGGAACACUGACAAUCCUCGAGAAACAAAGAGGGAUAGAGAGAGAAAGCGAAGCAAGAGGUUGAAAGAGGAGCGAGCGAAGCUAGGGUUUCUGCUGAGCUUACGCACUGCUAGUUGAGAUGCCACCGAUGAUUCAAGCUGCAGCCGUUCUCGGAGCUGGCGUUGUCGGUAGAACGAAGCGCAGGGAGAGAUUGCGGUCGAGAAGGUACCAAUUUCCCUGUAGGUCCAUGGAAAGAUCUCCAACAUGCUUGCGCUGAGCAUCCAAAUCCUCUUGUCCUAUAGCACUUUGCAUGAUAUAUCAAUUAGGACUUGGAUGCAGAUUUAGGGAAUGAAGCCAUUGGUCCGGGAGCAUUUGUUUUAUAUUUAUGUAACAUAAUUUAUGGUGAAUGAUUCAUGAAAAAUUUCAGCUCGGUUACUUAUAUAUUUUUUAUCCAAUUCUUUCCGGUUACAUAAUGGUAUGUAGCGUUAUGUAAUCUCUGCUGUAUGUUUUUGUUAGCUAACAUCAAACUUUUUGCAGCAUUUCAUCCGCAGCUUAUAGCUUUCAGCACAGCUAGAAUUUUUUCCAGAAACUUUGUCAAUCUUGGCUUUAACAGUCUACAUACGAAUUUGUUUAGUUGGUUGAA